CCCAGAUCUCAUUUAACGGUUGGCAGUGGAGGAAAGAGUAUCUUGCUGGAAAUCCCUGUCUACUGAAGGUCUUCCAGAGGUGUUCUUGUUGUUGAGAUCUGGCAAUGAUGUAUGAGGGAAGAAGCAUUGCAGCAGUCAACUACUAUUUAUGAAGUGCCAUGGAGAUAAACACCAAACAGUGGAAGAAGUCAGAGCUGUGAUUUCAGUCUGGAGAGUGGCAUCUUCCUGAAGUGCAGGCUAAAAAAUAUUCAAAAUUGAACCAAGGGUGACUAGUUGGACAGGAUGAAGAUAAUGACUGAACAUCUAGAUGGGCUGCAAGUCUCCUGAAAGAAGCAUCAGGGCAACUCAGUCUGAAGAUGAUAGAGCAAGAGGAGAGCCAGAAGUGAGAACUUUGGCCCUUUAUGUCAAUUGCCUCAAGACUUUCAGUAUAAGAACUUCUGAUUUUUUUUUUUUUCUCCUUUAAAAAAAUAGAGAGGAGAAGUAAAUAAACUGCUUCUCUUUUGUCACCUACUACUCAUACAGUGUUUGUUUGUUUGAGAAGCUUGUCAAACAAAAAUUGGCACCUGCCAACCAAACUGAAACAUGAUCUACUCUGAAUGCUGGAUAAGUGAGUGCCCCAGAGGGUUCCUCCCCACCCAGAGAGGAAGCACGCUUGCUGUUGAUGCAGAAGACAAGGAGGACAGAUGACUGCAUCUCUUGCACUGCCCGGAUUCAUGCUGCUUCCCAGGCUCCAGUCCUGCUGCCAGCCCUGCAAUUGCAAUACCACACCCAACAGGUGGCAAUUGUAGCCCGGACUCCGCCUUGGCAGAGCACCUGCACAAGAGCUUCUGCCUCCCAAACUCUUCCAGACCCAGCAAAGCCAGCAGAAGAAGGAGAGUGCUGGCACUUAACACACUGCUCCAUUUCAGAUUUCAGGCCAUUUUCUGAAUGUGAUGCAGUGCUCUUCUCCUUGUCGGAAAUCUGAAAUAGAACAAAGCAGCCUCAAACUAUGUCUGAGACCAUAAUUAGUGAUAUUGUGGGAAGUCAUAAGGAAGUCCUUGGGCUGUCCUGGGAUUUGGUCAUCUUAUUCUGUUUCCAUUUCCUUUUUGGCUCCAGAAGGAAGAAAAAAUAAACAGGAAGGAGAGAGAAGGGAUGGGGGUAACAGAGCUGUUAGUGAAGCUGAAGAGUUCACUUAUUUCCAUGGAAACAUUCACAUCCUAGCAACAGCAUAUUGAUAGCAAGAUGACAUGGAAAGACAAGAGCUGAUGCCUUUGGCUCAUGGGAAAACAAGCUAUCCUGGAUUUCUAGUUUUUUACCUUUUCAAAAAUGCAUAAGUGUUUAACAAAAAUCCCCAGUCAAUUUUUCUGUUCUUAAUUGCUUGUGCUUUUGUGUUGAAACAUUACCUGUUACGGAAAAUUGAUAGAGUUGAGGUAUUAUUCACAUUGUCUGUUUGGCCACAGGUAUCAUUAAUAGGCAACAAAGAAACCCAGAGGUAUUGAACAUCUUUUGUCUAUUUAUUUAUUCAUUUCACCAUUUAUUUAUUUCAUCAUUUCUUUUGUCAUGCCUUGAGGCAUUUAGCAAGAUGUUUUUGGAUUAGUUGAAAACAAGUAGAAGCCAAUACAACGUUCUGUGCCCAUCCCCUCACUUUCCAGUGCAUGGAUGGUACAACAUGGAUUGUUGAUAUGUUGUUCAGUGGGAGUCAUGGUAGGAUGAGUUGUGGUAUUGUUUGUACUCCGUAUGAUGUCCAGGGAACAUGUGUGUGCUGGGCAGCAGUACAAAGCUUUCUGGCUUUGUGUGGCUUUGGAUUGGGGUUUGUAUUGUAAUGCAUAUUUUUUCUUGGAAAUGUUUCUGUUUAAA